ACAGCAGUCGCCACGGUAACACGGAGGGUGCAAGCGUUAAUCGGAAUUACUGGGCGUAAAGCGCACGCAGGCGGUCUGACAAGUCAGAUGUGAAAUCCCCGGGCUUAACCUGGGAACUGCAUUUGAAACUGUCAGGCUGGAGUCUUGUAGAGGGGGGUGGAAUUCCAGGUGUAGCGGUGAAAUGCGUAGAGAUCUGGAGGAAUACCGGUGGCGAAGGCGGCCCCCUGGACAAAGACUGACGCUCAGGUGCGAAAGCGUGGGGAGCAAACAGGAUUAGAUACUCCUGUAGUCCCUGUCUCUUAUAC
rnacentral:rRNA from 1 species